rnacentral:rRNA from 1 species
GACAGAGGAUACAAGCGUUAUCCGGAAUGAUUGGGCGUAAAGCGUCUGUAGGUGGCUUUUUAAGUCCGCCGUCAAAUCCCAGGGCUCAACCCUGGACAGGCGGUGGAAACUACCAAGCUGGAGUACGGUAGGGGCAGAGGGAAUUUCCGGUGGAGCGGUGAAAUGCGCAGAUAUCAGGAGGAACACCGAUGGCGAAGGCAGGUCUCUGGGCCACUACUGACGCUGAGAAGCGAAAGCAUGGGGAGCGAACAGG